AGAACGAACGCUGGCGGCAGGCUUAACACAUGCAAGUCGAGCGCCUCGCAAGAGGAGCGGCAGACGGGUGAGUAACACGUGGGAAUCUACCCCUCUCUACGGAACAACUCCGGGAAACUGGAGCUAAUACCGUAUACGCCCCCCUUUAGAGAUAUUGGGGGGGAAAGAUUUAUCGGAGAUGGAUGAGCCCG
rnacentral:rRNA from 1 species